GUAGAAUUCCAGGUGUAGCGGUGAAAUGCGUAGAGAUCUGGAGGAAUACCGGUGGCGAAGGCGGCCCCCUGGACGAAGACUGACGCUCAGGUGCGAAAGCGUGGGGAGCAAACAGGAUUAGAUACCCUGGUAGUCCACGCCGUAAACGAUGUCGACUUGGAGGUUGUGCCCUUGAGGCGUGGCUUCCGGAGCUAACGCGUUAAGUCGACCGCCUGGGGAGUACGGCCGCAAGGUUAAAACUCAAAUGAAUUGACGGGGGCCCGCACAAGCGGUGGAGCAUGUGGUUUAAUUCGAUGCAACGCGAAGAACCUUACCUGGUCUUGACAUCCAGAGAAUCCUGCAGAGAUGCGGGAGUGCCUUCGGGAACUCUGAGACAGGUGCUGCAUGGCUGUCGUCAGCUCGUGUUGUGAAAUGUUGGGUUAAGUCCCGCAACGAGCGCAACCC
rnacentral:rRNA from 1 species